rnacentral:rRNA from 1 species
CCUACGGGAGGCAGCAGUAGGGAAUCUUCCGCAAUGGACGAAAGUCUGACGGAGCAACGCCGCGUGAACGAUGAAGGCUUUCGGGUCGUAAAGUUCUGUUGUUAGGGAAGAACAAGUAUCGGAGUAACUGCCGGUACCUGACGGACCUAACCAGAA